rnacentral:rRNA from 1 species
AGAGUUUGAUCCUGGCUCAGGACGAACGCUGGCGGCGUGCUUAAUACAUGCAAGUCGAACGGAGUUAAGGGUUUCGGCCUUUAACUUAGUGGCGAACGGGUGAGUAACGCGUGAAUAACCUGACUCAAAGAGGGGGAUAACAACGGGAAACUGUUGCUAAUACCGCAUGAGACCACAACACCGCAUGAUGAAGGGGUCAAAGAUUUAUCGCUUUGAGAGGGGUUCGCGUCCCAUUAGGUAGUUGGCGGGGUAACGGCCCACCAAGCCGACGAUGGGUAGCCGAGCUGAGAGGCUGAUCGGCCACACUGGAACUGAGACACGGUCCAGACUCCUACGGGAGGCAGCAGUGGGGAAUUUUGGACAAUGGGGGCAACCCUGAUCCAGCCAUGCCGCGUGCGGGAAGAAGGCCUUCGGGUUGUAAACCGCUUUUGUCAGGGACGAAAAGGUGCGGGUUAAGAGCUAGCACUGAUGACGGUACCUGAAGAAUAAGCACCGGCUAACUACGUGCCAGCAGCCGCGGUAAUACGUAGGGUGCGAGCGUUAAUCGGAAUUACUGGGCGUAAAGCGUGCGCAGGCGGUUGGGUAAGACAGAUGUGAAAUCCCCGGGCUUAACCUGGGAACUGCAUUUGUGACUGUCCGACUGGAGUAUGUCAGAGGGGGGUGGAAUUCCAAGUGUAGCAGUGAAAUGCGUAGAUAUUUGGAAGAACACCGAUGGCGAAGGCAGCCCCCUGGGGCAAAACUGACGCUCAUGCACGAAAGCGUGGGGAGCAAACAGGAUUAGAUACCCUGGUAGUCCACGCCCUAAACGAUGUCUACUGGUUGUUGGGGACGAAAGUUCUUGGUAACGAAGCUAACGCGUGAAGUAGACCGCCUGGGGAGUACGGUCGCAAGAUUAAAACUCAAAGGAAUUGACGGGGACCCGCACAAGCGGUGGAGCAUGUGGUUUAAUU